ACCGUGCCACUGCACUCCAGUCUGAGUGACAAAGCAAGACUGAAAAAAAAAGUAAGCACACACUCACAGUGUCUACAGGGUCCCAGCACUGACACCCAGUUCUCACACUCAGUGUCUACAGGGUCCCAGCAACGACGCCCAGUUCUCACACUCACAGUGUCUACAGGGUUCCAGCACUGACACCCAGUUCUCACACUCAGUGUCUACAGCGUGACAGCACCGAAACCCAGUUCUCACCCUCAGAGUAUCUACAGGGUCCCAGCACCGACGCCCAGUUCUCACACUCACAGUGUCUACAGGGUCCCAGCACUGACACCCAGUUCUCACACUCACAGUGUCUACAGGGUCCCAGACACCGACAACCAGUUCUCACACUCACUGUCUACGGGGUCCCAGCACCGACACCCAUUUCUCACACUCACUGUCUACAGGGUCCCAGCACCGACGCCCAGUUCUCACACUCACUGUCUACGGGGUCCCAGCACGGACACCCAGUUCUCACUCACAGUGUCUACAGGGUCCCAGCACCAACACCCAGUUCUCACACUCACAGUGUCUACAGCGUCCCAGCACCGACGCCCAGUUCUCACACUCAGUGUCUACAGGGUCCCAGCACCGACGCCCAGUUCUCACACUCAGUGUCUACAGGGUCCCAGCACCGACGCCCAGUUCUCACAAUCAGUGUCUACAGGGUCCCAGCACCGACACCCAGUUCUCACACUCAGUGUCUAC
rnacentral:lncRNA from 1 species